rfam:Lupinus angustifolius cultivar Tanjil chromosome LG13, whole genome shotgun sequence.
UGGCUACAAAAGAGGUUACACUAUAGCCACUCAUUUUACUUGGCCACAAGAAGGUUUCACCAUAGCCACUUCUUUUGCCACAUCAUUCUCUUUUUCUUUUAAGCCAAUAUUUAAAUAUUGGCUUAAAAGAAAAAGAGAAUGAUGUGGCAAAAGAAGUGGCUAUGGUGAAACCUUCUUGUGGCCAAGUAAAAUGAGUGGCUAUAGUGUAACCUCUUUUGUAGCCA